rnacentral:lncRNA from 1 species
AGGGCCAUCAGAAGUCGGCGACAUGAUUUAGAUUCAAUUUGGAUCGAAGAAGUCCCAUUAGAUUGACUCUAUUUCAGUUAUUUAUUUUCAAUCAAUAAAGUAUCUUGAUGUAUUUUAUUUUGGAUCCAUAGGACCAUACUUGGAUUUGUAUUGGGUUUGUCCACGUCAUUUUUGGGGCCACAACUCUCCACACGCCUAGGAAAG